rnacentral:rRNA from 1 species
GACGAACGCUGGCGGCGUGCUUAACACAUGCAAGUCGAACGAGAAAGGCUCUUCGGAGCUGAGUACAGUGGCGAACGGGUGAGUAACACGUGGGCAACCUGCCCCAUGGAGCGGGACAACCCGGGGAAACCCGGGCUAAUACCGCAUGAUUCGUACGGUCAUAAGUCCGUACGGGAAAUGGUAGCUUCGGCCUCCGCCAUGGGAUGGGCCCGCGGCGCAUUAGCUUGUUGGUGAGGUAACGGCUCACCAAGGCGACGAUGCGUAGCUGGUCUGAGGGGGCGAUCAGCCACAGCUGGACUGGGACACGGCCCAGACUCCGACGGGAGGCAGCAGUGGGGAAUCUUGCGCAAUGGGCGGAAGCCUGACGCAGCAACGCCGCGUGUGGGAAGACGGCCUUCGGGUUGUAAACCACUUUCAGGGGGGACGAAGCUUCCGAGGUUAAUAGCCUACGGGGUGACGGUACCCCCAGAAGAAGCCCCGGCUAACUACGUGCCAGCCGCCGCCGUAAAAC